GGACGUCGCGAGACCUAACAAAAGCACCAAAAAUAGGAAUUCCUUCCGGGCGAGUGCCCUCCCCGUCCCGAUAGCGCAGGAAAAGAAACCAACAGGGAUUGCCCUAGUAACGGCGAGUGAAGCGGCAACAGCUCAAAUUAGAAAUCUGGUCCUUCGGGGCCCGAGUUGUAAUUUGCAGAGGAUGCUUUUGGCGCGGUGCCUUCCGAGUGCCCUGGAACGGGACGCCACAGAGGGUGAGAGCCCCGUAUGGUUGGACACCAAGCCUAUGUAAAGCUCCUUCGACGAGUCGAGUAGUUUGGGAAUGCUGCUCAAAAUGGGAGGUAAACCCCUUCUAAGGCUAAAUACUGGCCAGAGACCGAUAGCGCACAAGUAGAGUGAUCGAAAGAUGAAAAGCACUUUGAAAAGAGAGUUAAAAAGCACGUGAAAUUGUUGAAAGGGAAGCGUUUGCGACCAGACUUGCGCCCGUCGAAUCAGCCGUCCCUCGUGGGCGGUGCACUUCGGCGGGCUCAGGCCUGCAUCAGUUUACUGCAGGGGGAGAAAGGCGCUGGGAAUGUGGCUCCUCGGAGUGUUAUAGCCCGGCGCGUAGUACCCCUCGGUGGACUGAGGACCGCGCGAAAGCAAGGAUGCUGGCGUAAUGGUCGUCAGCGACCCGUCUUGAAACACGGACCAAGGAGUCGUCCUAAUAUGCGAGUGUUUGGGUGUCAAACCCCAGCGCGUAAUGAAAGUGAACGGAGGUGAGAGCUUCGGCGCAUCAUCGACCGAUCCUGAUGUUCUCGGAUGGAUUUGA
rnacentral:rRNA from 1 species